GCAUUGGUGGUUCAACGGUAGAAUUCCCGCCCACCAUGCAGGAGGCCUGGGUUCAAUUCCCGGCCAACGCA